GAGGGUAGAGCUCAGUGGUAGAGUACAUGCUUAGCACGCACAAGGUCCUGGGUUCAAUCCCCAGUGUCUCA
rnacentral:tRNA from 1 species